UACGGAGGAGGCAAGCGUUAUCCGGAAUUAUUGGGCGUAAAGCGUCCGCAGGUGGCACUUCAAGUCUGUCGUCAAAGACUGGGGCUUAACCCUGGAAAGGCCGUGGAAACUGAAGAGCUAGAGUGCAGUAGGGGUAGAGGGAAUUCCCGGUGUAGCGGUGAAAUGCGUAGAGCUCGGGAAGAACAUCGGUGGCGAAAGCGCUCUGCUGGACUGCAACUGACACUCAGGGACGAAAGCUAGGGGAGCGAAUGGG
rnacentral:rRNA from 1 species